rnacentral:rRNA from 1 species
AACGAACGCUGGCGGCAUGCCUAACACAUGCAAGUCGAACGAGACCUUCGGGUCUAGUGGCGCACGGGUGCGUAACGCGUGGGAACCUGCCCGUAGGUUCGGAAUAACUCCCCGAAAGGGGUGCUAAUACCGGAUAAUGUCUUCGGACCAAAGAUUUAUCGCCUUUGGAUGGGCCCGCGUUGGAUUAGCUAGUUGGUAGGGUAAAAGCCUACCAAGGCGACGAUCCAUAGCUGGUCUGAGAGGAUGAUCAGCCACACUGGGACUGAGACACGGCCCAGACUCCUACGGGAGGCAGCAGUGGGGAAUAUAGGACAAUGGGCGAAAGCCUGAUCCAGCGAUGCCGCGUGAGUGAUGAAGGCCUUAGGGUUGUAAAGCUCUUUUACCCGGGAUGAUAAUGACAGUACCGGGAGAAUAAGCACCGGCUAACUACGUG